rnacentral:sRNA from 2 species
GAAAGAGUCCACUAGGGUUCCGCAGCACUGCUGGUCUGGACCGAGAGUGGACCCAUGGAGCAAUCCGUGACACGGAGGGAUAAAAGCCUGGGAGAU